UUGCCGUCCAUCUCCUUCCUUUGUUUUGGUGGUCAGCAUUUUCCUUCCAUGCCCUCUCCCCUGAUGUGGGUUGGCCGCCUGCCGUUCUUGCGCGGGUGAUGCUGACGUUGAAAGCCGGGUUCAAGGAUUUAGGAGGGUUGGAGGCGAGCGCCCAUCUCCUUGGAUAUUGGUGCAGCAGAUGUACAUCCAUCUCUCUGUGCUGCAAAGUUACUAUUGCGGGCAUCUGUUGUAAGAGUUGACACUUGACAGGUUGUUCGGAGUUCUGUGCCCGGCUAAAGAAGCUACAUAAUCAGCUUUUAAGGAUGGAAAACAGCUAUUGGAAAUUUUAAAUCUUCAUUAUGCGUGAUCGCAAGUGAUGAUAUAUUUCUUAGAAAUUAAAAUGUUGCCAGGCGUGUACUACGUGGCUACGUCCUAAUACUUA